CACACACACACACACACACACAUACACACAGAGGAAGUUUGAAAACAAAUUGUAGCUUAGUUUCUAAAUUAAAAUAAAUAUCUGGCAUGCACUUCACUGUUCAAGUUUUCUUCCAAGUUCUCUACUUAGCAUCUAGAUAUGGUUAACUAUUUUCAGAGACAGUUUCCAUGUCCACAUUACCCAUUACCCAAUUUUUCCAACGAUUUGAACCACGAUAAUGUGGACAACUUGUUUGUCUUUCCAUGCUGUAGAUAGAGUUAUUUACUUAUUUAUAUUUUAAAAUAGAAGUUUGAAUAUAAUAUGAUUGCAUCAAUUCUUAAUCAAAAUGUUCUUAGUAAAUUCUUAUCUGUGGAUCAUAAUAAACCUGAUAGGGCUUGAAAGUUUGAACCUUAAAGCGGUUGUUUUAUGCUUUAUUCUCUAAUAUAUCCCAAAAACCACUUGAAUAAAUUCUAUAGGAUAUGAGCCUAAUGCCUUGGGCGAAGUCCCAAAAGCAGAAGUGUGUGCUUGAUAGAACAAUAGGCUCCGCCAAACAAUCCAAGGCACUUUUGACGAAUCUUGCCCUGACAUAUGCCUCCCAAUAAAUGUGACUUAAUACACUGGUAGCAAUUUGCAUAUGUAUGAGCAACAGAAAUAACUAUUGGAGAUUUAAGUCUGCCUGGUUCAGCUUCUAAAAUUCUGUUCGAAUUUAAUCCAAUAACGAGUAGAUAUGAAAUGGAUAAAUUUGCUGCAUUCUUUCGUAACAUGAUUUACAUAUUUCUCGCGUUUUCUCAAUGGAAUUUUAUUUGUUUCCUGUUGGAAGUUUCUUGUUUAUUCUAACUUGUUUGGUUUGUCAUUGGUUUCAGGAAUGUUGUGUUUGGAGGUGCUCGACCACGAGAACUGGUAAAUUCAUUUUCCUAUCGUUGCAAGUCAUGAUGAUGUAAAGAAUAUGUGGCGUGUUAGGAGUACAGUUCGUUUGUUCUUUUGUGUUUGAGAAACAUAAUUUUUCUAUUUUGCCUUUUCACUUGCGAAAUUGCAUUACAAGUCAUUUAGAUAGUUUUGGAUGCUCCGCUGGUUUUAACAAAUCAAUCUCCUGGGGUGACACUGUGCUGUAUCCCCCCCCCCCCCC
rnacentral:lncRNA from 1 species